UAUAUAUUAGAACCGUCGGUCUACCGAGCAAUAUCAACCGCUCGGUGGAAAAUUUCCCUUUCGUUGU
rnacentral:pre_miRNA from 1 species